rnacentral:lncRNA from 1 species
AGGGGCAGCACCAAGCGGGCCAAGCGCCCUGCGCCUGCUGGCACCUCCCAGAAAGGGGAGAGCUCCCAGCAGGAGCAGCCCAGCAGCAGCGCCCCAGCCAAGAAAAGGAAGCUGCCGCCAUGCAAAGAAAGAAGAGAAAGACAAGGCCGCAAACACCUGGGCCAAGUGAAGCUGUGUGGGGCCAGCACAGGAGCCAGCGGCAGCGGGCAAGCGGGCACUCCCAGCGAGCUGCGCGUGCACUUACGCGAAUCCAUCCGGGCCGUGCACCCGCUGGGGCAGAGGGUGACUGCGGUGGGGCCGGUGCGCCAGCCACCCUCUGUGCAGCCCCAGCCUACAGCUGGCACUGGCCCCGCCACCCCCCGGCCCCAAGCUGGCGGCACAGACUGGGCGGCACUGGCACCCCCAGGCGGCACGGCACGAGAGGAUGGCACCGCCAAGAAGACAGCGCCGAGCUGCCCGCGCCCGUCCUUGCGGAGGAGUUCACCACCGCUGAGGGACCCACUGUCACAGCGGCACAAACCGCAGCCUCGGCUGCAGCGCCCCGUGCAAUUUGUGCCCUGCGCGGGGCCCCGGCUGCGUGGCGGUGUGGCACCCACAGCACUGGAGGAGUCGUUGCCCAUCACAGCCGAGCAGCGGCCCGAGCGGGAGCACUUGAAGAAGCUGGCCCAGGAGGAGCGGCAGCAGGCGGCCCAGCAGAUGAGGAUCGGCCCCGUGCAGUUCCUGGUGCAGCGGGAGAUAGACAUGGCCAUAGCCAACCGGUACGGCUACCCGUAACCCUGCGCUCCUCGCUGGCCCCGCAGCACCAGGCGGCAGCCGCAGCGUUCCAGGGGCACCACCAGCGGCCCCAUCCCUCCCCUCCUGAACCCAGCCGUCCUCCACAGUCAGCAGUGCAGUGGGAUGGGACAUUGUCUGGGCGCUCAGCUGUGGUGGGAUGGGAAUUCUGUCGUUUCUGUUUCUCGUUGUAUUCUCAGAUAGGUUAUUAAAAGCUCUGUGUUUGUGUUUUGCU